CGUCGAAACAUUGGUUCUCGUAAGAUCACCUAAAUUAAGAAACGUCGAGCCAGGUCACUACUUAGAUGGGUGACCGCUUGGGAAUACCUAGUGUU